rnacentral:rRNA from 1 species
GAUGAACGCUAGCGGCAGGCUUAACACAUGCAAGUCGAGGGGUAUAGUUCUUCAGAGCUAGAGACCGGCGCACGGGUGCGUAACGCGUAUGCAAUCUACCUUUUGCUGAGGGAUAGCCCAGAGAAAUUUGGAUUAAUACCUCAUAGUAUGUGAGAGUGGCAUCAUUUUCACAUUAAAGUCACAACGGCAAAAGAUGAGCAUGCGUCCCAUUAGCUUGUUGGUAAGGUAACGGCUUACCAAGGCAACGAUGGGUAGGGGUCCUGAGAGGAGUAUGCACCAAACUGGGACUGAGAAACGGACCAGACUCCUACGGGAGGCAGCAGUGAAGAAUAUUGGACAAUGGGCGCAAGCCUGAUCCAGCCAUGCCGCGUGCAGGAUGACGGUCCUAUGGAUUGUAAACUGCUUUUGUACAGGAAGAAACACUGUUUCGUGAACCAGCUUGACGGUACUGUAAGAAUAAGGAUCGGCUAACUCCGUGCCAGCAGCCGCCGUAAUAC